rnacentral:rRNA from 1 species
UACGAAGGGGGCUAGCGUUGCUCGGAAUCACUGGGCGUAAAGCGCACGUAGGCGGAUUGCUAAGUCAGGGGUGAAAUCCUGGAGCUCAACUCCAGAACUGCCUUUGAUACUGGCGAUCUCGAGUCCGGGAGAGGUGAGUGGAACUGCGAAGUGUAGAGGUGAAAUUCGUAGAUAUUCGCAAGAACACCAGUGGCGAAGGCGGCUCACUGGCCCGGUACUGGACGCUGAGGUGGCGAAAGCGUGGGGAG